rnacentral:rRNA from 1 species
UUAAAUUGAAGAGUUUGAUCAUGGCUCAGAUUGAACGCUGGCGGCAGGCCUAACACAUGCAAGUCGGACGGUAGCACAGAGGAGCUUGCUCCUCGGGUGACGAG